CGUGAAUCCAAAACCUAGACGAUGUGAAAUGUAGUUGAGAUAUUCGAUUUUUACGAAAUGAAAAACCAGUAAAUAAAAACCGAAAUUUCGAAACAGCAAUGUGAAAAAACCAUGGUAGCUUCGUCCUUGCACUUCACCAGAAACAAGCUCCUAACUUUCUCUCUCCUCGUCCUCCUCUCUCUUCUCUGCUUCCUCCUCUUCAACAGAAGCCCUCUCGAUCCCAAACUCAGAGAUCUCAGCCUCAUCUCCCAAUUCCCCGCCCCUCUCCUUGACUCGAGAUCCCCUCUCUCCCACGACGAAUUCGAUGAUACCAAACAACCCACUUCAAUUUCAUUUGAUAUCCAAGAGAAAACGGCGCCCCUUUCAUCAAAAUCUGAUCUUGAUGAUGAACCUUCAGAGCCAUCAAUUUCUUCAAAUGAGGAAAAUGAAGUUCCCACCUCAUCAAAAUCGAAUCUUGACGACAAAUCUCCUCAGAAUGCUUCAGAGCCUUUGGAUCCAUUGGAGACGGACGAGGAAAAGACAGCUCUCAUUACACCGGAGUCCAAUUCCGAUGACAGAAACAGCACGGAAUUGGAAGAAUCUGGUCCAAAGGUGGAGUCUUUGGAGGAGACCGGUGGUUUAAUUGAUAAUGCGGUGGCGGAAAAGCUGAGGAAUUGUGAUAUGUACAGUGGGAAAUGGGUGAAAGAUGAAGGGUAUCCGCUGUAUAGAGCGGGUUCUUGUCCCUACGUGGAUGAGGCUUUCGAUUGUCAGAGCAAUGGGAGGCCGGAUUUUGGGUAUACACAAUGGAGGUGGAAACCGCAUGGAUGUGAACUUCCCAGGUUUAGCGCGACAGACUUCUUGGUGAGACUGAGAGGAAAGAGGCUUAUGCUGGUGGGAGACUCUAUGAACCGUAACCAGUUUGAAUCUCUGCUGUGUCUUCUGCGUGAAGGGCUUCCGGAUAAGUCCAAAAUGUAUGAAACUCAUGGAUAUAAAAUAACUAAAGGAAGAGGCUAUUUCAUGUUCAAAUUUGAGGAUUACAACUGCACUGUGGAAUUUGUUCGGUCCCACUUCCUUGUCAGGGAAGGGGUUCGUGUCAAUGCACAAGGAAGUUCCAAUCCUACUCUAUCCAUCGACCGCAUUGACAAGACAGCUGCUCGUUGGCUGAGAGCAGACAUACUCGUGUUCAACACGGGGCACUGGUGGACCCAUGGAAAGACGUCUAGGGGGAAAAACUACUACAAAGAAGGCGAUUACGUCUACCCUAAAUUUGAUGCUGUGGAAGCAUAUAGAAGAGCCAUCAGGACUUGGGCAACGUGGAUCAAGAAAAACAUGAGCCGCGAAAAGCUGGUUUUUUAUCGUGGAUACUCGUCUGCUCACUUCAGAGGUGGAGACUGGGAUUCUGGUGGAUCGUGCAACGGAGAGACUGAACCGGUAGUGCAAGGGGCAAUCAUCGAUAGCUACCCUCAGAAGAUGACGAUUGUGGAGGAAAUCCUCAAGGAAACGAGGGUGCAGGCAGUGCUUCUGAACGUUACACGCCUGACCAAUUUCCGCAAGGAUGGACACCCCUCCGUCUAUGGAAAGAACGUGACUCAAUUGAAGAAGGUAUCUACGAGAAGGCAAGACUGUAGCCACUGGUGUCUUCCUGGAGUGCCCGAUGCCUGGAACGAGUUCAUCUAUGCUACAUUGGUAGCCAGACAGACAUAGUCACUAAAAUCGUGUAGCCAUUUAAAGUUAAUUGGUGGAGUCGUCCUUGAAAAUGUAAUUGAUGGUGAGCAUUGAGCAAUGCAAAAGGAUGCAUCUGCAACGGCGCCAGAUCAGACGGGCUGUCUCGUUCCGAACUGCCAUCAGAACGCCAUUGCGUCUCACUGCAGAGGGCUGACAACCGCGGAGAUCACAUCUCUGUCUGACGGGAUGACGCGCCCACACACGUGGCACGAUAUGGAGUGCGCGGUGAAGUGGACGUCGUUUUGACCAUUGGAAUUUUAAUUUUUUUAAUAA